rnacentral:rRNA from 1 species
UACAGAGGUCCCAAGCGUUGUUCGGAUUUACUGGGCGUAAAGGGUGCGUAGGCGGUUGGGUAAGUCUGACGUGAAAUCUCCGGGCCUAACCCGGAAACUGCGUUGGAUACUACCUGACUAGAGGAAUGGAGGGGAGACUGGAAUACUUGGUGUAGCGGUGAAAUGCGCAGAUAUCAGGAGGAACACCAAUGGCGAAGGCAGCACUCUGGGACGUGACUGACGCUGAGACGCGAAAGCGUGGGGAGCAAACAGG